GGAGCACUGCCGCGUGAACGAUAGAANGCNUUCGGGAUCGUAAAGNUCUGUUGUUAGGGAAGAACAAGUGCCGCAGGCAAUGCCGGCACCUUGACGGUACCUUGCGAGAAAGCCACGGCUAACUACCUGCCAGCAGCCGCGGUAAUACCGUANGUGGCAAGCGUUGUCCGGAAUUAUUGGGCGUAAAGCGCGCGCAGGCGGCCUNUUAAGUCUGAUGUGAAAGCCCCCGGCUCAACCGGGGAGGGCCAUUGGAAACUGGGAGGCUUGAGUGUAGGAGAGAAGAGUGGAAUUCCACGUGUAGCGGUGAAAUGCGUAAAGAUGUGGAGGAACACCAGUGGCGAAAGCNACUCUUUGGCCUNUAACUGACGCUGAGGCGCGAAAGCGUGGGGAGCAAACAGGAUUAGAUACCCUGGUAGUCCACGCCGUAAACGAUGAGUGCUAGGUGUUGGAGGGUUUCCGCCCUUCAGUGCUGAAUCUAACGCAUUAAGCACUCCGCCUGGGGAGUACGGUCGCAAGGCUGANACUCAAAGGA
rnacentral:rRNA from 1 species